rnacentral:tRNA from 1 species
GGGAAGGUGGCUCAGUGGUAGAGCACUCGCCUUGCAUGCAUGAGGCCCUGGGUUCGAUUCCUCAGCCCCA